AUGCACGCUGGCGGCGUGCCUAAUACAUGCCAGUCGAGCGGACGGACGAGAAGCUUGCUUCUCUGAUGUUAGCGGCGGACGGGUGAGUAACCCGUGGAUAACCUACCUAUAAGACUGGGAUAACUUCGGGAAACCGUAGCUAAUACCGGAUAAUAUUUUGAACCGCAUGGUUCAAAAGUGAAAGACGGUCUUGCUGUCACUUAUAGAUGGAUCCGCGCUGCAUUAGCUAGUUGGUAAGGUAACGGCUUACCAAGGCAACGAUGCAUAGCCGACCUGAGAGGGUGAUCGGCCACACUGGAACUGAGACACGGUCCAGACUCCUACGGGAGGCAGCAGUAGGGAAUCUUCCGCAAUGGGCGAAAGCCUGACGGAGCAACGCCGCGUGAGUGAUGAAGGUCUUCGGAUCGUAAAACUCUGUUAUUAGGGAAGAACAUAUGUGUAAGUAACUGUGCACAUCUUGACGGUACCUAAUCAGAAAGCCACGGCUAACUACGUG
rnacentral:rRNA from 1 species